GCCGACUUGGUGGCUGGAGGGGGGGUGAGAGUGAGGGGGUGAGGGUUGGCUGGAUUCAUGUGGGGUGAAGUGGUCGUAGGCGGCGUGAUAAGUCGGAUGUGAAACCUCCAGGCUCAACCGGGAGGCGCCAUCCGAUACUGUCAUGGCUAGAGUCCGGUAGGGGCCCACGGAAUUCCUGGUGUAGCGGUGAAAUGCGCAGAUAGCAGGAGGAACACCGGUGGCGAAGGCGGUGGGCUGGGCCGGCACUGACGCUGAGGAGCGAAAGCGUGGGGAGCGAACAGGAUUAGAUACCCUGGAGUC
rnacentral:rRNA from 1 species